GGUCCGAUAGCUCAGUUGGUAGAGCAACUGGCUUUUAACCAGUGGGUCGCAGGUUCGAUUCCUGCUCGGAUCACCA
rnacentral:tRNA from 2 species